rnacentral:rRNA from 1 species
UAAGCAAUUAUACGGCGAAACUGCGAAUGGCUCAUUAUAUAAGUUAUCGUUUAUUUGAUAGCACCUUACUACUUGGAUAACCGUGGUAAUUCUAGAGCUAAUACAUGCUAAAAAUCCCGACUUCGGAAGGGAUGUAUUUAUUAGAUUAAAAACCAAUGCCCUCUGGGCUCUCUGGUGAUUCAUGAUAACUUCUCGAAUCGCAUGGCCUUGCGCCGGCGAUGGUUCAUUCAAAUUUCUUCCCUAUCAACUUUCGAUGUUUGGGUAGUGGCCAAACAUGGUUGCAACGGGUAACGGAGGGUUAGGGCUCGAUCCCGGAGAAGGAGCCUGAGAACCGGCUACUACAUCCAAGGAAGGCAGCAGGCGCGCAAAUUACCCAAUCCCGACACGGGGAGGUAGUGACAAUAAAUACUGAUACAGGGCUCUUUUGGGUCUUGUAAUUGGAAUGAGUACAAUUUAAAUCCCUUAACGAGGAACAAUUGGAGGGCAAGUCUGUUGCCAGCAGCCGCGGUAAUUCCAGCUCCAAUAGCGUAUAUUAAAGUUGUUGUGGUUAAAAAGCUCGUAGUUGAACCUUGGGCCUGGCUGGCCGGUCCGCCUCACCGCGUGCACUGGUCCGGCCGGGCCUUUCCCUCUGUGGAACCCCAUGCCCUUCACUGGGUGUGGCGGGGAAACAGGACUUUUACUUUGAAAAAUUAGAGUGCUCCAGGCAGGCCUAUGCUCGAAUACAUUAGCAUGGAAUAAUGAAAUAGGACGUGCGGUUCUAUUUUGUUGGUUUCUAGGACCGCCGUAAUGAUU